GACGAACGCUGGCGGCGUGCUUAACACAUGCAAGUCGAACGCUGAAGCUCAGCUUGCUGGGUGGAUGAGUGGCGAACGGGUGAGUAACACGUGAGUAACCUGCCAUCUUCUUUGGGAUAACGCCCGGAAACGGGUGCUAAUACUGGAUAUUCACUGAUUCUCGCAUGGGGGUUGGUGGAAAGGUUUUUUCUGGUGGGGGAUGGGCUCGCGGCCUAUCAGCUUGUUGGUGGGGUGAUGGCCUACCAAGGCUUUGACGGGUAGCCGGCCUGAGAGGGUGACCGGUCACAUUGGGACUGAGAUACGGCCCAGACUCCUACGGGAGGCAGCAGUGGGGAAUAUUGCACAAUGGGCGAAAGCCUGAUGCAGCGACGCCGCGUGAGGGAUGGAGGCCUUCGGGUUGUAAACCUCUUUCGCUCAUGGUCAAGCCGCAGCUUUGGGUUGUGGUGAGGGUAGUGGGUAAAGAAGCGCCGGCUAACUACGUG
rnacentral:rRNA from 1 species